rnacentral:rRNA from 1 species
UACGAAGGGGGCUAGCGUUGUUCGGAAUUACUGGGCGUAAAGCGCGCGUAGGCGGACGUCUAAGUCAGGGGUGAAAUCCCAGGGCUCAACCCUGGAACUGCCUUUGAUACGGCAGGGCUAGAGUUCGGGAGAGGAGCGUGGAAUUCCCAGUGUAGAGGUGAAAUUCGUAGAUAUUGGCUGGAACACCGGUGGCGAAAGCGGCUCUCUGGCCCGGUUCUGACGCUGAGGCGCGAAAGCGUGGGGAGCAAACAGG